UGGCGGGCAUGCCUGUUCGAGCGUCAUUUCAACCACUCAGGCCCUGGUGCCGGGCGUCGGGGUUUCUUGCUUCGGUAAAAUCCCCUAGAAUCAGUGGCGGACCCGCCGCGGCUCCGAGCGUAGUAGUAAAAUAUCUCGCUAUGGAGGCCCGUGGAGGGAUUACCGGCCGUAAAACCUCUUCUUUACUGAAGAACUUCUCAAGGUUGACCUCGGAUCAGGUAGGAAUACCCGCUGAACUUAAGCAUAUCAAUAAGCGGAGGAAAAGAAACCAACAGGGAUUGCCCCAGUAACGGCGAGUGAAGCGGCAACAGCUCAGAUUUGAAAUCUGGUCCCCAGGGCCCGAGUUGUAAUCUGUAGAGGACGUUUCUGGCAAGGCGCCGUCCGAGUUCCCUGGAACGGGACGCCGGAGAGGGUGAGAGCCCCGUACCAGGCGGACGCCGAGCCUCUGAAUCUU
rnacentral:rRNA from 1 species